rnacentral:rRNA from 1 species
CCAAUAGCGUAUAUUAAAGUUGUUGCAGUUAAAAAGCUCGUAGUUGAAUUUCGGGAUCAAUAUAUUGGUCAUGCUUAGGUAUGUACUGGUAUUAUUGAUUUCUCCCUUCUGAAGAACCAUAAUGUCAUUAAUUUGAUGUCAUGGGGAAUCAGGACUGUUACUUUGAAAAAAUUAGAGUGUUUAAAGCAGGCUUUCGCUUGAAUACAUUAGCAUGGAAUAAUGAAAUAGGACGUUUGAUUCUAUUUUGUUGGUUUCUAGGAUCGACGUAAUGAUUAAUAGGGAUAGUUGGGGGCAUUAGUAUUCAAUUGUCAGAGGUGAAAUUCUUGGAUUUAUUGAAGACUAACUACUGCGAAAGCAUUUGCCAAGGAUGUUUUCAUUAAUCAAGAACGAAAGUUAGGGGAUCGAAGACGAUCAGAUACCGUCGUAGUCUUAACCAUAAACUAUGCCGACUAGGGAUCGGAUGAUGUUAAUUUUAAUGACUCAUUCGGCGCCUUACGGGAAA